AGAGUUUGAUCCUGGCUCAGAAUGAACGCUGGCGGCGUGCUUAACACAUGCAAGUCGCACGAGAAAGCCUUGGCUUGCCAGGGCGAGUAAAGUGGCGCACGGGUGAGUAACGCGUGGGUAAUCUACCCUCGAAUUUGGGAUAACACCGCGAAAGCGGUGCUAAUACCGGAUAACAUCAUAUUUUCUUUGGAGGAUAUGAUCAAAGGUGGCCUCUACAUGUAAGCUACUGUUUGGGGAUGAGCCCGCGUACCAUUAGCUAGUUGGUAGGGUAAUGGCCUACCAAGGCUUUUGACGGGUAGCUGGUCUGAGAGGAUGGUCAGCCACACGGGGACUGAGACACUGCCCCGACUCCUACGGGAGGCUGCAGUCGAGGAUAUUUAGCAAUGGGCGAAAGCCUGACUAUGCGACGCCGCGUGAGGGAUGAAGGUCUUCGGAUCGUAAACCUCUUUCGAUGGGAAAGAAAACCCUCAAGUAAUUGGGGACUGACGGUACCUAGAGAAGAAGCCACGGCUAACUCCGUGCCAGCAGCCGCGGUAAUACGGAGGUGGCGAGCGUUACUCGGAUUCAUUGGGUGUAAAGGGCAGGUAGGCGUCCCGAUAAGUUUUGGGUGAAAUCCUUCAGCUCAACUGAAGAACUGCUCAAAAAACUAUCGGGAUUGAGGCUGGAAGAGGAGAAUGGAAUUCCCGAUGUAAGAGUGAAAUCUGUAGAGAUCGGGAGGAACACCAGUGGCGAAGGCGGUUUUCUGGUCCAGUCCUAACGCUAAGCUGCGAAAGCUAGGGGAGCAAACAGGAUUAGAUACCCUGGUAGUCC
rnacentral:rRNA from 1 species